GACGAACCGUGCGAACGUUAUUCGGAAUCAUUGGGCUUAAAGGGUGCGUAGGCGGGCUCGGUGAGUCAGGGGUGAAAUCCCACGGCCCAACCGUGGAAGUGCCUCUGAUACCGCGGGCCGUCGAGGGGGGAUAGGGGCGUGCGGAACUUCCGGUGGAGCGGUGAAAUGCGUAGAUAUCGGAAGGAACACCGGGUGGCGAAAGCGGCGCGCUGGAUCCCUACUGACGCUGAGGCACGGAAAGCCAGGGGAGCAACGGG
rnacentral:rRNA from 1 species